UUGAUCAAGAGCGGCCCAGUCCGCCCGAUUUGCACUCCUGCGCAGUCGCCCAAGAUUGGGUUUUCUCUAUAAAUUCUCGAUCUACCAGUGGCUCCCGCCGCAACCAUAACCCUAACCCUAAUAGUUAACCAUUUCGGUUGUCUAGUUCCUCGCGCCGUUUCCAUCAUCUUGUUUAUACUUUGGGAGGGGGUUCUUGAACUGUAAAUUAGCUCUUAUCUUCUCUGCUGAUCCAGUCAUUUCGGUCUUUCCUUUCUUUCUCAUGGUUUUUAAUUUCAAUCAGUUUGUUUCUGCCAAUUGGUCUUGUAUAACCGGUGAUUUGGAAUUCGGUUCGUGCAAGUGAUGAUAGAACAGACAGGGACAUCAGCACUCUUUAGAAGUAUGAUGACUCGUCUAUGGGAAUCUCUCUGAUGCAUAUUUUUGUAAGUCAGCUUAUGCGGCAGGAAUCCUUUCCAUGCUUACUUGCUUCAAACCUCAAAAACAAAAUUGAUUUUGCAUUUCUUUUCUUGUUUUUAUCUCUGUUCUUGGGACCUAAUUCUCAUGUACUAAAUUAUGAAAUGGAUUAGGGAUUCCUAAUACAUGUUAACGUAUGUGCCAAUGAUGCAUCAGAUGCACGUAUUAUCAGACCAAGAGCUGAUGAUAUUUGAUUGUCACUACCGCUGAGGCCCGUUUCUUAUGCAAAGAAAAUGUCAUUUUGGAUGAGUUUCGUAAAUUCUUGAAUACAUUAACAUGGUCCUCCAUUUAUGUUUAUAUGUAUUGUUUCUUGUUUAUAUUCAAAAAAGUUGUGGUUGGUUGGAUUUGCCUGUGAUGGAUUUGCAUAUGCACGUAUUAUCGGAUCAAAAGAUGACCGAUUAUUUAGUAGAUUGUCACUACCUCUGAGGCAUUUCCAUCUCCAGUUAGGUCUAUUGUAGAAUAAACAGAGUUACAGAAGAAUGAAUUAAGUUUAUUUCCCGUCCAGAAUUGCAUUAAUCUGGUGAUUCUUGCAACUCUAUUUGUUUCUUGGGCAACUGGCAAAGUUCUUUUUUGAAACUGCAACAAGCAUUUUACGGGAUAAUGCUUUGGGACAUGUAGGACAGGACCAAUUACUGUGGAAAAAAUCAAGUUCUUACAAAAAUACUGGCAAGUCAGGUUAUAAGGUGUUUUCAUCCAUUGAACUCUCAACUUAUGUGACACAAGUAAAUUUGGUUGAGAUUUGGGGUCUAAAUUUCAAAUCUUCCUUCGGAGAGCUUAUUGGGGUGCCAGUUUAAACUGGGGAUAGACUCGCUUAUUUCCAGCAACAGGAUCAGCCAUGCCCAAUGUUUGUCUCGGGCGAAGCAUUUGAAUCACGGAACAAACACAACUCAAGAUUCUCCAUCAAAUAGUUCAUCAAUGGAAAGAGCAGUUGGCAAGGCCACAAGGGGGGCUUUAGUAUUCAAGGAACCUGAAUGUGCAUUAUAACAAAAUAAUAAAGCCUGACAGUUCAAUUACAGAAA